AGGGGUGUAGCUCAGUUGGUAGAGCAGCGGUCUCCAAAACCGCAGGUCGCGGGUUCGAACCCUGCCGCCCCUGCCA
rnacentral:tRNA from 1 species